rnacentral:rRNA from 1 species
UACGUAGGGACCGAGCGUUGUCCGGAAUCAUUGGGCGUAAAGGGCUCGUAGGCGGCCAACUAAGUCGGAUGUGAAAUCCCCAGGCUUAACCUGGGAACUGCAUCCGAUACUGGAUGGCUUGAAUCCGGGAGAGGGAUGCAGAAUUCCAGGUGUAGCGGUGAAAUGCGUAGAUAUCUGGAGGAAUACCGGUGGCGAAGGCGGCAUCCUGGACCGGCAUUGACGCUGAGGGAGCGAAAGCCAGGGGAGCAAACGGG